rnacentral:rRNA from 1 species
GACGAACGCUGGCGGCGUGCUUAACACAUGCAAGUCGAGCGGUAAGGCCCUUUCGGGGGUACACGAGCGGCGAACGGGUGAGUAACACGUGGGUGACCUGCCCUCAGCUCUGGGAUAAGCCUGGGAAACUGGGUCUAAUACCGGAUAUGACUCCAUGACGCAUGUUGUGGGGUGGAAAGCCUUGUGCGGCUGAGGAUGGGCCCGCGGCCUAUCAGCUUGUUGGUGGGGUGANGGCCUACCAAGGCGACGACGGGUAGCCGGCCUGAGAGGGCGACCGGCCACACUGGGACUGAGACACGGCCCAGACUCCUACGGGAGGCAGCAGUGGGGAAUCUUGCGCAAUGGGCGAAAGCCUGACGCAGCGACGCCGCGUGAGGGAUGACGGGCC